GAAUGGAGGGGGAGUCAUUUGGGAGGAGCAGACAGGUGGGAGACGUUUAACAUGACCUUGAACUUACGAAAGCAUGUUUUGACACUUGUCAUGAAUGUUGGGCCCGCUCAGUCUCCUCUGUUUCCCUUCCUUGGCCUUUCUGUCUGUCUAUAGGUUUGUUCCUUUGUAGGUUCCUGUUGAAAUCUGUAGGUAGCUGUUCGCUUUGAAUGUAAUUAAGAAAGAGGACGAAAACUAUCCAUUUGGAUCCAAGGUCCAUCUCCAGCGGUGGCUGUGGAGGCCUUGGAGUGGCGGAAGAUUACCACUCUCAACAGAUCUGCUCUCAGGACCCAUCACCUUCCCUCGGCCUGAGUGCCUCUGCCCUCUGUCCGUAUCAGUGACAGAGGCUGUGUGUUUGGCAAGGGGACUGCAUGCCUGCUGAACCGACAGUUGACUCUAACUCUUGCUACAAAGUUUCUCUCUGACCCAGUGAAAGAGUGUCAAGACAUCUGCCUGGGACAGGUUGAGAGCCAAGGCCAAGACUGUAUAGGGCUACC
rnacentral:lncRNA from 1 species